UCACUGGUGGUUUAGUGGUAGGAUUCUUGCCUUCCAAGCAGGAGGGCCUGGGUUCGAUUCCUGGCCAGUGUA
rnacentral:tRNA from 1 species